CCGGGUAUGGUGGAAAUAGGUAGACAUGUUGGAUUUAGGUUCCAAUGGCAAACGCUGUGGGGGUUCAAAUCCCCCUACCCGGACCA
rnacentral:tRNA from 1 species